rnacentral:rRNA from 1 species
GGAAAGGCGAAAAGAACCCCGGCGAGGGGAGUGAAAAAGAACCUGAAACCGUGUACGUACAAGCAGUGGGAGCACAGGUUUACCUGUGUGACUGCGUACCUUUUGUAUAAUGGGUCAGCGACUUAUAUUCUGUAGCAAGGUUAACCGAAUAGGGGAGCCGGAGGGAAACCGAGUCUUAAUUGGGCGUUAAGUUGCAGGGUAUAGACCCGAAACCCGGUGAUCUAGCCAUGGGCAGGUUGAAGGUUGGGUAACACUAACUGGAGGACCGAACCGACUAAUGUUGAAAAAUUAGCGGAUGACCUGUGGCUGGGGGUGAAAGGCCAAUCAAACCGGGAGAUAGCUGGUUCUCCCCGAAAGCUAUUUAGGUAGCGCCUCGUGAAUUCAUCUCCGGGGGUAGAGCACUGUUUCGGCUAGGGGGCCAUCCCGGCUUACCAACCCGAUGCAAACUGCGAAUACCGGAGAAUGUUAUCACGGGAGACACACGGCGGGUGCUAACGUCCGUCGUGAAGAGGGAAACAACCCAGACCGCCAGCUAAGGUCCCAAAGUCAUGGUUAAGUGGGAAACGAUGUGGGAAGGCCCAGACAGCCAGGAUGUUGGCUUAGAAGCAGCCAUCAUUUAAAGAAAGCGUAAUAGCUCACUGGUCGAGUCGGCCUGCGCGGAAGAUGUAACGGGGCUAAACCAU